GACGAACGCUGGCGGCGUGCCUAAUACAUGCAAGUAGGACGCAGUUGCGAACGGGUGAGUAACGCGUAGGUCACUACAUAUUAGAGGGGGAUAACUCUUGGAACAGAUAGCUAAUACCGCAUACUAGUAGAUGGACCUGCGUUGUGUUAGCUAGUAGGUAGGGUAAUGGCCUACCUAGGCAACGAUACAUAGCCGACCUGAGAGGGUGAUCGGCCACAAUGGGACUGAGAAAAGGCCCAGACUCCUACGGGAGGCAGCAGUAGGGAAACGUCGGCAAUGGGGGGAACCCUGACCGAGCAACGCCGCGUGAGUGAAGAAGGUUUUCGGAGCGUAAAGCUCUGUUGUUAAGGAAGCGGUACUUAACCAGAAAGGGACGGCUAACUACGUGCCAGCAGCCGCGGUAAUUC
rnacentral:rRNA from 1 species